AUCCCCGCUGAAGGAUUACGCCUAUCGGAUGGUUAACCUUCUUCAAUAGGAAGAAGCGAGAGUGCGGUCCUGCAAGAGAAGCGCCGUCUAACUACGUGCAGCAGCCGCGGUAAUCGUAGGCGCAAGCGUGUCCGGGAUUAUGGGCGUAAAGAGCUCGUAGGCGGUUCGUCGCGUCUGCUGUGAAGCCCGGGGCUCAACCCCGGGUCUGCAGUGGGUACGGGCAGACUAGAGUGCAGUAGGGGAGACUGGAAUUCCUGGUGUAGCGGUGAAAUGCGCAGAUAUCAGGAGGAACACCGAUGGCGAAGGCAGGUCUCUGGGCUGUUACUGACGCUGAGGAGCGAAAGCAUGGGGAGCGAACAGGAUUAGAUACCCUGGUAGUCCAUGCCGUAAACGUUGGGCACUAGGUGUGGGGGACAUUCCACGUUUUCCGCGCCGUAGCUAACGCAUUAAGUGCCCCGCCUGGGGAGUACGGCCGCAAGGCUAAAACUCAAAGGAAUUGACGGGGGCCCGCACAAGCGGCGGAGCAUGCGGAUUAAUUCGAUGCAACGCGAAGAACCUUACCAAGGCUUGACAUUCACCGGACCGCCCCAGAGAUGGGGUUUCCCUUCGGGGCUGGUGGACAGGUGGUGCAUGGUUGUCGUCAGCUCGUGUCGUGAGAUGUUGGGUUAAGUCCCGCAACGAGCGCAACCCUCGUUCUAUGUUGCCAGCACGUGAUGGUGGGGACUCAUAGGAGACUGCCGGGGUCAACUCGGAGGAAGGUGGGGAUGACGUCAAAUCAUCAUGCCCCUUAUGUCUUGGGCUUCACGCAUGCUACAAUGGCCGGUACAAAGGGUUGCGAUACUGUGAGGUGGAGCUAAUCCCAAAAAGCCGGUCUCAGUUCGGAUUGAGGUCUGCAACUCGACCUCAUGAAGUCGGAGUCGCUAGUAAUCGCAGAUCAGCAACGCUGCGGUGAAUACGUUCCCGGGCCUUGUACACACCGCCCGUCAAGUCACGAAAGUUGGUAACACCCGAAGCCGGUGGCCUAACCCCUUGUGGGAGGGAGCCGUCGAAGGGGAUCCCCGA
rnacentral:rRNA from 1 species